rnacentral:rRNA from 1 species
UACAGAGGUCUCAAGCGUUGUUCGGAUUCAUGGGGCGUAAAGGGUGCGUAGGGGGUGAUGCAAGUCUGGGGUGAAAUCUCGGAGCUCAACUCCGAAAUUGCACCGGAUACUGCGUGACUCGAGGACUGUAGAGGAGAUCGGAAUUCACGGUGUAGCAGUGAAAUGCGUAGAUAUCGUGAGGAAGACCAGUUGCGAAGGCGGAUCUCUGGGCAGUUCCUGACACUGAGGCACGAAGGCCAGGGGAGCAAACGGG